rnacentral:rRNA from 1 species
ACACGACUACAUUAGAUACCCGCGUAGUCCUAGCCGUAAACGAUACUCGCUAGGUGUCGGCCACGGUGCGACCGUUGUCGGUGCCGUAGGGAAGCCGUGAAGCGAGCCACCUGGGAAGUACGGCGCAAGGCUGAAACUUAAAGGAAUUGGCGGGGGAGCACAACAACGGGUGGAGCUUGCGGUUUAAUUGGAUUCAACGCCGGAAAUCUUACCGGGACCGACAGCAACAUGAAGGCCAAGCUGAAGACUUUGCCGGAUUAGCUG